ACGGAAGGCAGCAGUGGGGAAUAUUGGACAAUGGGGGAAACCCUGAUCCAGCGACGCCGCGUGAGUGAAGAAGUAUUUCGGUAUGUAAAGCUCUAUCAGCAGGGAAGAUAAUGACGGUACCUGACUAAGAAGCCCCGGCUAACUACGUGCCAGCAGCCGCGGUAAUACGGAGGAUCCGAGCGUUAUCCGGAUCUAUUGGGUUUAAAGGGUGCGCAGGCGGCGUUUUAAGUCAGUGGUAAAAUCGUGGGGCUCAACCCCAUCCUGCCAUUGAUACUGGAGCGCUUGAUUGCGGUCGAGGUUUGCGGAAUUCGUCGUGUAGCGGUGAAAUGCAUAGAUAUGACGAAGAACACCGAUUGCGUAGGCAGCAGACCAGUCCGUAAAUGACGCUCAUGCACGAAAGUGCGGGGAUCGAACAGGAUUAGAUACCCUGGUA
rnacentral:rRNA from 1 species